CAGAGGGUGCAAGCGUUGCUCGGAAUUAUUGGGCGUAAAGGGUAGGUAGGUGGUCUCAUUUGUCUGGGGUGAAAUCCUUGAGCUUAACUCAAGAAGUGCCCCAGAAACGGUGAGACUAGAGUACUGGAGAGGGUCGUAGAAUUCCUGGUGUAGCGGUGAAAUGCGUAGAGAUCAGGAGGAAUACCAGCGGCGAAGGCGGCGACCUGGACAGUAACUGACACUCAACUACGAAAGCGUGGGGAGCAAACAGGAUUAGAUACCCUGGUAGUCCACGCCGUAAACGAUGGAUACUAGGCUUUGUGGGUCUUGACCCCUGCAGAGCUGGAGCUAACGCGAUAAGUAUCCCGCCUGGGAAGUACGGUCGCAAGACUA
rnacentral:rRNA from 1 species